UCGUGCAGCAGGUGCGAGACGCACUCAGUCGCCGGUGGGAGGAACGGCCAAACGCAGCUGUUCCCGUGACCUUUCCGUGUUAUUAACACCGCCCCAAUGCGCAGAUGGAUUGAGACAAACCCAGCACACCUGUGUUCCCGACCAGGGGAAGCAGGAGUGGAGCCGCUGGUUGCAUCGUGCUUAGAACUGCUGCCCUUGGAGCCAAUGGCUACAGGUUCGAGUCUCACCUCCAGUUACGAUACUCUUGAGCAAGGUGCGUAUCGUGAAUUGCUCCAGUAAAAAGCAUCAGUAGAUGAAUGAAUGUAAAGGCAAUUUCAGUUGUUAUGUUUCCCCUUGAAAGCAAUGCACAUCCCCUAACCCGAGUCCUCGUAGUGCUGCCCAGGGACAGUCAUAUCUGAUGUUAUUAUCAUGUAUUAUUCAUAAACACUGCAUAGCUUUGCAUCACCGAGUUGUAAAUGCAAAUCAUUAUAAAAAAUAACAUUUUAUGAUUAUUAUAGAUCAGUAAUAUUCUUACUGCUACAAUCACGCUGUAAGGUGUAGCAGAUUUCUGAAUGGAGUCCUGGGUUUUGCAGGUUCCACACACACACACACACACACACACACACACACACACACUAAUGGCAGUUGGGGCUUUCAUCGCUCUUAUUGCUGUUGUCAUGUCCAAAUUUUUCUUUGCCCAUUUCACGCUUCUCCGGGAGAGGAAUCUGCUCCUCCUGCUCUUCACACGCAUAAGAAGAGUGUUUCAAAUGAGAGGCAGUUAGAGCAGAACAUGUCCCUGUUUCCCUGUGAACAGCGGCUCAAGUGUCACCAGGGCUCCAGAACGAAGACGGUUGCAGGACCAGCCGGACAGGUUGAGAUAACGCCACUGGGCGACGCCCCCUGCGGUGACGGUGACGCUUGGCCAAACGUAACGGACAGCAGCAGCAGCCCGAUGACAGGGUCUCACAUGAGAGCUGCAGAAGUGGUCAUGUGGACCGUGAAGGAUGCGAAGAGAAGGAGAGAAGGAAGCACUGCGGUUGAGGGCCACAGGGCGGCUGGUGUGGUCACCAUCACACCGUGGGAACGUCUGCUGUGUGCAGCAACGACCCGGUCGAUCGUCCCGUCCGAGACCGCGGUGAGACCUGAACCAGG
rnacentral:lncRNA from 1 species